CACUGUUGUGGCCUCUCCCGUUGCGGAGCACAGGCUCCGGACGCGCAGGCUCAGCGGCCAUGGCUCACGGGCCCAGACGCUCCGCGGCAUGUGGGAUCUUCCCGGACCGGGGCACAAAUCCGUGUCCCCUUCAUCGGCAGGCGGAGUCUCAACCACUGCACCACCAGGGAAGCCCUCUUUGCGGUUUUAAUCUGCAUUUCCCGGAUGACUGAUGAGUGCCUCCUGACUCUUGUUAUAUGAUGGUACCCUGAGAAAAUGAUAUUUGAUUUGCACGCUGAGCUGAACAACUGAGGCUGCAGCCCAGGUGCCCCAGGAGCUGAGGAGUCAAUACCCGGUGGGAAACGGGUGCAGCAUUUUGUCCCUGGAAGACUGGAGUGUUUGCAUGAGUUCCUAGCACCAACGAGACACUGGAAACCAAUGAGAUGGCUGGCAAGAUGGAGUCUGUUAAAGUGAGUUAUCUUUAUCUACUUCUGUUUUAUGACAUGUUGGGGAAUGAGUGUUGGUGAGACUGGCAAGGAGCCGGUGGCAGAGCUGGUGGUGAGAACCAUUGGGUAGAGGCUGCAGGGAGUCUUACUAGGUGAGGUCUGCUCAGUCCCCAGAACCCAUCCUCGGCAGUCAGUUGGAUGAAGCAUAAUAG